UACAUGUGGGGCAAGCGUUGUUCGGAAUUACUGGGCAUAAAGGGUGCGUAGGCGGCUUGUUAAGUCAGGGGUGAAAGUUUUCGGCCCAACCGGAAAAUUGCCUUUGAUACUGGCGAGCUCGAGUGCGUGAGGGGUAACCGGAACGAGCAGUGUAGCGGUGAAAUGCGUAGAGAUCGGGAGGAACACCAGUGGCGAAGGCGGCUACCUGGACCAGCACUGACACUGAGGCACGAAAGCGUGGGGAGCAAACAGG
rnacentral:rRNA from 1 species